UCGGACGUGGUGUACGGUGCACGCCUGCUGCUUUUAUCGGUUCGAACAGGUGUAAGCCAGAGCCCUGGGUUCGACUCCCAGCGUCCGAA